GACGAACGCUGGCGGCGUGCUUAACACAUGCAAGUCGAACGGAAAGGCCCUGCUUUUGUGGGGUGCUCGAGUGGCGAACGGGUGAGUAACACGUGAGUAACCUGCCCUUGACUUUGGGAUAACUUCAGGAAACUGGGGCUAAUACCGGAUAGGAGCUCCUGCUGCAUGGGGGGGGUUGGAAAGUUUCGGCGGUUGGGGAUGGACUCGCGGCUUAUCAGCUUGUUGGUGGGGUAGUGGCUUACCAAGGCUUUGACGGGUAGCCGGCCUGAGAGGGUGACCGGCCACAUUGGGACUGAGAUACGGCCCCGACUCCUACGGGAGGCAGCAGUGGGGAAUAUUGCACAAUGGGCGGCAGCCUGAUGCAGCAACGCCGCGUGCGGGAUGACGGCCUUCGGGUUGUAAACCGCUUUCGCCUGUGACGAAGCGUGAGUGACGGUAAUGGGUAAAGAAGCACCGGCUAACUACGUG
rnacentral:rRNA from 1 species